GUUGGCCUUCUCCGCUUCCCCUCCCCUUGGCCGCCACUAUUCUUCCCCUUCCCCUCCCCUCCGCUUUUCCCAAUCUUCCCGUCCCUCCAACGCCUCCACUCGCACAUAGGCAGUGCCUCCCGUGAUACGAUUCCUGAAAAUUCGAAGCCGAUGACUUCUGAUUGCAGGCUUGGCGCUCGCGUUGGAUCCGUAUCAUCAUAUCCGUGGAAGGGCAUCCAUGCGACCAUCCGCGCGCAGCCGAAUCAACCUAUGCGCCACCGUUGGUCUGCACCCGGACAUCCUCAUGCCGCCAUGCCGGUAACCUCGGACGCACCACUCUGCUCCGGGCCUUCCUUGCGCUGGCGUCCUCAGAUUCACCAGACGCAUCCAUCGCCGUGCGAUCGAGCUCGAUUCCAGUAGGAUGCUAUGCUCGAUGGCUCUUCACGUCGGCAGCCUCGACCGCGCCUGACGCGGCCAACCCGGCGAAGCCCAGUGAGCCUGUGCGCACACGUUGCUCUGCCCCAUGCCCUCCUCGUGCCGACGGCCUCAGGCGUACCUCGACCCUCUCCGCCGAGGCCUCGAUUCCAGCGGACGAUUUUGGGAAGGAGAAGCUCGAUGGCCUCCCCUUGCCUUCUAACGUCGCUACGAACGCCCGCAAGCCCAACAGGAGGAAGGCAAGAGCAUCUCUUCUCCUCAUGAUUGACCCGUCACUUCAUGCAUUGUUUUAGUUUUGGAUUUAUACUGGUGCUUUGGAUGAUUAAUAUUCUGUCUUUUUGGAUGGAUUUUUGUGGUAUGUACAGCUCCGAUCAAGAUAGGUACCAAUGGUGAGCUUGAGCCUCCGAUUUAUUCUGGUUAUUGCUUGCUUUGUGAUUGGCUUGAUUUCAUAAUGUGAUGUGGUGUUCGUAAUGUUUCGUGGCGCUUCCUGGUAGCUCUGUGGUGCUUGCUAGCUUCAAGUGUGCGAGGACGGCGACAACGCUUCUGCAGUUUAAGGUCAUGUUCUUUGGUUGUUUUUUCAUAUGCAGAUGUACAUGUUGUAGUAACCCAUGUGCAGCCAAAUUCUAUGUUGUUUUUCGGAUAAGGGUCUGACAAUGAAUUUGUGCUUCUUGAUGUUCAACAUAAUCCUAAUUCUGAAAUUCAUAUAUAACCAUCUUGCAGGUUUGGUACAUACGCGCCCCAACUUUUAUCAAAAAAUUGAUUUUUAUUUGCAUUACAUGCACUUUCCAUUUGAUUCUGCAUAUCUUAGAUAGCAAAUCAUUUGAUUUCUUACUUGUGUUAAAUAGCCAAUUGAAUAAUCUUGGUGUAGCUAUACGAACAUUCAGAUAAUUAUUUUCCUUUUGAGGGAAAAAAUAUACAUAGUUUGAUUGACUUCACAAAGUAACAUGUUGAUUAACUCUUAACAUAAAUUUAAUUGUCACCAUUUUCAUUGUGGAUCAUAUGCAAAGGUCCUCUAAUACACAGGUGAUUUGUUUUGCUGAUUAUAAAAGAAACGUGUGAUAUGUUAAUGGUUAUACCGAUACAAAACCGUCAAGCCUAUAUCUCAGCUUUGUGACGCUUCAUCUCAAAGUUCAUCAUAUUUACCGAUAUAAGGUACAUGCAACAGUUGAUUCAUAGUAUGCUUCCACCCAUUAGUUUGUAC
rnacentral:rRNA from 1 species